CACGUAGCUCAGUUGGAUAGAGUGCUUCCCUCCGAAGGAAGAAGUCACUGGUUCGAAUCCAGUCGUGACCGCCA
rnacentral:tRNA from 1 species